UUAAUUUAUAAAUUUACAUUCAUUCACAAAAAGUUCUUAGGCUUAACUAGGCUGAUCUCACUGAGCCUAAUCAUAAAUGUCUUUGGAAAAAUUAUUAAUAUAGGGGAAUAUUCCAUAGUUUAUGUUAAUUUUCAAAAUAUGUAUUUUUAUUGACUAAUUGAGAUGAAUUACUGCCUAAGAAUAAUUCUUUGUAUGUGAAAAAUAAUCUGCUUAAAAUUUCUUUCUACAGAAUUCUAUAAAUCUGAAGACUAAACUUUAAAAUAAAAUCGUCAGAGGAAAGGAAUUGGUAGAAAUAAAACUGGAAACAUCCAGAAUCUUGAUGGUGUGCCAAACCAGAUGUCAACUGGAGCUCAACCAAAACCUAAAGCUAGACUGCCAAACCCAAUUUCAGCCAUAGAGUACCGGAUGUAUAAAGUUCACUGUCCUGUGGAACAUGUCUGAGGUACCAGUGCUGAGGUUUGAAUGUGGUCCUGGCUGCAAAAUACUGAGGGCAAGACCUCUCCCAGUGAUGGUGCUCUCUGACAAACGAAGCAAAGAGAGAGCAGAUUUGAUGACUUUCUCCCAUGACUUUGCAAGAAGAACUGCCACCUGCCAUCUAGGCAGUUGAUGCAAUGUUCCAGCAACCUCCAGAUGCAAGCAGUCCCAAGAAGCUCCUGGCUGCACCUUGGGCCCUAGUGGAGAAAUAACAAGGCUCACUUAAGCUCAGAGAUAAAGAUGCUAAAGACCCUCCGGGGAAUAUAUGUAGUUUGUAUGCUUUUUAAAAUACCUGCCACUACAAAGAUCGUAAUUUCCACCUGAAAUGACACAUUUAAAUAGUAUUUUUCCAUAAUUAUGAUUAAACUGUUUCUACCCACUAUUGCUUAGAAAAAUGCUCUCACAAUAGGGAGAGAUGACAAAAUAAAAUCAAAAGCGAA
rnacentral:lncRNA from 1 species